GCUCAGUCUGCGUCCGGUCUUUGUUGCAGUCAUGUUGCGCUUGUGAUGAUGAGAACAACACUGACUCAAAUGACUCACAGGCCAGGGGGAGUUUGUCAUUUGUCAGCGUUCAUGUGAAUGUCAACAUCCAAGGUUGAGUCCAGUUCAGCAAAUCCAUUCCGCAAAAGUCAAAAUAUUGCGUAAAGGCUGAGAAUUUCUCACAGCGACAAACAAGAUGGCACCAACCUGAAAUGGGGGACAGACGGAGUUGAGCUGACAAUUUUCUGCUUUCAGAGGGAUUUCCGCUUUGGGAGCAGCUAGUGGUCCUCCGGAGAGGCUCCCUCUCAGAAGUCCGAUGCAUACAAGACCGCUUUUCAGCACACGAGCUCCUUGAUGGAGCCGGGAAAUAAAAAUCCCAUCAAAGAAGCGUGAAGCCGAGCAGAGGAAUUACACUCGCGUGUAGCGGGUAGAAAACGCUGGCGGUGAAAUUCCAUCGUCGUUCCACGCGGCCUUAACUAACGACUCCCUCUCGGCCAGCAAACUUUGCUGGCCCCAAAUAUUAGGUACACCCGCCUGCGCCAUUUCCUUAAAGCUGAAAGCAUCUUUUUCAUGGACCCCAACAUUUUCAUCCAAGUUUGACGCCAUCAAAGACGUGUCCACCAAAAUGGUAAAACUCACGUCACAUCUUUAUUCUGUACUUUCCAAUCAUUUUUUUCAUGAUU